AAAUAAGUCACAAAAUACUCUAAUGACUUGAUCAGUGCUUUGAAUAAUUUCGAUCCAAUGUGUUGCCAGGUUGUUGUCUUAGGCAACCACACCU
rnacentral:tRNA from 1 species